rnacentral:rRNA from 1 species
GACGAACGCUGGCGGCGUGCUUAACACAUGCAAGUCGAACGGAAAGGCCCUGCUUGCAGGGUACUCGAGUGGCGAACGGGUGAGUAACACGUGGGUGAUCUGCCCUGCACUUCGGGAUAAGCCUGGGAAACUGGGUCUAAUACCGGAUAGGAGCCAUCUUUAGUGUGAUGGUUGGAAAGUUUUUUCGGUGUAGGAUGAGCUCGCGGCCUAUCAGCUUGUUGGUGGGGUAAUGGCCUACCAAGGCGGCGACGGGUAGCCGGCCUGAGGGGGUGGACGGCCACAUUGGGACUGGGAUACGGCCCAGACUCCUACGGGGGGCAGCAGUGGGGAAUAUUGCACAAUGGGGGCAAGCCUGAUGCAGCGACGCCGCGUGGGGGAUGACGGCCUUCGGGUUGUAAACUCCUUUCGCUAGGGACGAAGCUUUUUGUGACGGUACCUAGAGAAGAAGCACCGGCUAACUACGUG